rnacentral:misc_RNA from 1 species
GGGGUGAAGUCGUAACAAGGUAGCCGUAUCGGAAGGUGCGGCUGGAUCACCUCCUUUCUAGAGAAUAAAUCUCUCUAUAAGCAUUCACACUUAUCAGUUGUUGGUAGCACAAAGAAUUUAAGUAAUUGGCCCUGUUUAGGGUCUGUAGCUCAGCUGGUUAGAGCACCGUGUUGAUAACGCGGGGGUCGUUGGUUCGAGCCCAACCAGACCCACCAGUUUUAAUUAAUAUGUAACUUAAAAUGGGGGAUUAGCUCAGCUGGGAGAGCACCUGCUUUGCAAGCAGGGGGUCAUCGGUUCGAUCCCGUUAUCCUCCACCAAUUCUUUGUAUAAAAAAGGUAAGCCUUAAGCGUUUAUUAAAUUAAAUGUUUAAGGCUAGCUUUUUAGCUAGUAUGUUCUUUAACAAUAUGGAAGAAGUAAAUUAGAAAUCAUAAGAUUGUGAUGAGAUUAUGAUUUCAAAUGGGUAAUGAUUGCAAAAUCAAAUACUAAAUCAACACUUUGCAUCUAAAUUUUAUAUUUGGAUAAAAAGAGUUUUUAAAGUAAGCUUUAGAAGAAACUAUAAUGACCGUCUCAUGCGGGAAAACGUAAGUAGAAAAGGGCUUAGGUUUUAAAGUUAUAGGAUCAAGUGAAUAAGUGCAUAUGGUGAAUGCCUUGGCGAUUACAGGCGAUGAAGGACGUGGUAGUCUGCGAAAUUUUUCGGGGAGCUGGCAAACAAGCUUUGAUCCGGAAGUGU